GACGAAGGGGGCUAGCGUUGUUCGGAAUUACUGGGCGUAAAGAGCGUGUAGGCGGCUUGGUAGGUCCGCUGUGAAAACUCGAGGCUCAACCUCGAGAUGUCGGCGGAAACCACUUGGCUAGAGUCCGGAAGAGGAGAGUGGAAUUCCUGGUGUAGCGGUGAAAUGCGCAGAUAUCAGGAAGAACACCUAUGGCGAAGGCAGCUCUCUGGGACGGUACUGACGCUGAGACGCGAAAGCGUGGGGAGCGAACAGG
rnacentral:rRNA from 1 species